rnacentral:rRNA from 1 species
UACGUAGGGUGCAAGCGUUGUCCAGAAUUAUUGGGCGUAAGGAGCUCGUAGGCGGUCUGUCGCGUCUGGUGUGAAAAUCCAGGGCUUAACCCUGGACCUGCAUCGGGUACGGGCAGACUAGAGUGCGGUAGGGGAGAUCGGAAUUCCUGGUGUAGCGGUGAAAUGCGCAGAUAUCAGGAGGAACACCGGUGGCGAAGGCGGAUCUCUGGGCCGUAACUGACGCUGAGGAGCGAAAGCAUGGGGAGCGAACAGG